rfam:Pteropus alecto contig86255, whole genome shotgun sequence.
GGUUCCAUUGUGUAGCGGUUAGCAUGUCUGCUUCACACGCAAAAGGUCCUAGGUUCACAUCCCAGUGGAGCCA